UGGCGAGUGGCGAACGGGUGAGUAAUACAUCGGAACGUGUCCAUUAUGGGGGGAUAACACUUCGAAAGAAGUGCUAAUACCGCAUGAGACCUAAGGGAGAAAGCAGGGGACCUUCGGGCCUUGCGCUAUAGGAGCGGCCGAUGACAGAUUAGGUAGUUGGUGGGGUAAAGGCCCACCAAGCCCGCGAUCUGUAGCUGGUCUGAGAGGAUGAUCAGCCACACUGGGACUGAGACACGGCCCAG
rnacentral:rRNA from 1 species